rnacentral:misc_RNA from 1 species
GGCUGCCGACCUCGGCGCCGCAGACGAGCACGAUGACCGGGAUGGUGGCCAGGUACACGCCGUGGCUGAUGAGGUAGUGGUACCCGAGCCGCACGUACUUGAGGUUCACCGACUGGAGGAAGUCCGGCAGCCGCCGCCGCACCCGCACCGAGAACGUCGGCGACCCGGCGUCCGGCCCCGACGGCUCCACGCCGCGGUUCACGAUCUCCGUCAACAGCAGCGCCU